AAGUCGUAACAAGGUUUCCGUAGGUGAACCUGCGGAAGGAUCAUUAUUGAAUAAAUCUGGCGUGGUUGUAGCUGGCUCUUAGGAGCAUGUGCUCGCCCGUCACCUUUAUCUUUCCACCUGUGCACACACUGUAGUCCUGGAUACCUCUCGCCGAAAGGCGGAUGCAGAGUUUGCUGUCAGCCUUCGCAAGAAGGCCGGCUCACUCUGAAUUUCCAGGUCUAUGAUUUUUAUACACCCCAAACUGAAUGUUACAGAAUGUUAUCAUCAGGCCUUGUGCCUAUAAAUUUAUACAACUUUCAGCAACGGAUCUCUUGGCUCUC
rnacentral:misc_RNA from 1 species